rnacentral:rRNA from 1 species
AGCAGCCGCGGUAAUUCCAGCUCCAAUAGCGUAUAUUAAAGUUGUUGCAGUUAAAAAGCUCGUAGUUGAAUUUCGGGAUCAAUUUAUUGGUCGUGCUAUUGUACGUACUGGUUUUAUUGGUUCCUCCCUUCUGACGAACCUUGAUGCCAUUAAUUUGGUGUCUUGGGAAAUCAGGACUGUUACUUUGAAAAAUUAGAGUGUUUAAAGCAAGCUCACGCUUGAAUACAUUAGCAUGGAAUAACGGAAUAGGACGUUUGAUUCUAUUUUGUUGGUUUCUAGGAUCGACGUAAUGAUUAAUAGGGAUAGUUGGGGGCAUUAGUAUUCAAUUGUCAGAGGUGAAAUUCUUGGAUUUAUUGAAGACUAACUACUGCGAAAGCAUUUGCCAAGGAUGUUUUCAUUAAUCAAGAACGAAAGUUAGGGGAUCGAAGACGAUCAGAUACCGUCGUAGUC